GGGAAGGUGGCUCAGUGGUAGAGUACUUGCCUUGUAUGCAUGAGGCCCUGGGUUCAAUUCCUCAGUGCCCCA
rnacentral:tRNA from 1 species